AGAGUGAAUCAUCGAAUCUUUGAACGCAACUUGCGCUCUCUGGUAUUCCGGAGAGCAUGCCUGUUUGAGUAUCAUGAAAUCUCAACCAUUAGGGUUUCUUAAUGGCUUGGAAUUGGGUGUUGCCAGUCGCCUGGCUCGCCUUAAAAGAGUUAGCGUGUUUAACUUGUCUAUCUGGCGUAAUAAGUUUCGCUGGUGUCGGCUUGAGAAGUACGCUUCUAAUCGUCUUCGGACAAUUCUUGAACUCUGGUCUCAAAUCAGGUAGGGCUACCCGCUGAACUUAAGCAUAUCAAUAAGCGGAGG
rnacentral:misc_RNA from 1 species